GGGGAUUUGGGGCCGGCAGACACACGGGCACCUGGGCAUUGGUGAAGGCGGACACAUCACAUUGGAAGGUUUAUGAGCUUUGGUCGCUGAGUCCCCAGAGAGAGAGCUCGACUGUGUCUCCCAUCAUCUCAGUCAGCAAAAGGUCCGUAGGGGACUGCUGUGCUCAGCUCUGCAGAGACGUCCAGCGGUGCCCAGCGGGGAGGACUGUGCCAGGCUGCAGGGCUUUGCGUGCAGCAUCUGAGCUUUGAGCCCCUGGGAAAAACUGGGCCCUUAGGAAGCACUCCGAAGAAGCUUCCUAAAGGAAUUCUGCCUCCUGUCCUGUUCAUCCACUCUCAAAAUUUCUUCUUAGUCACUGUCCUGCUAGUGGAGCACUAGCCCAUCCCUCACCUCGUCAGGGUGUGCAUCCUCUGAGACCUACGCCUCAAGGGAGCAGGAGAGGAUGCCAGGAGAAUUGACAGAAUCGCACUGGCCUCAAGGAAAGCUUCAUUCUCAGACAACAAAACCAUCACAUCCUCCUUCUCCUCGCACAGAACUCUGCUUCUAAGCCGUGAUCCCCCACCCUCGCCAGGCAUGAGCCAGGGGACCCACUCUCACCCUUCGUAGCCUGAGGAAGUCCUGACAUUCUUGUCUUCUUCUCCAUGAUGAUUGAGGAGAUUACCAGGCACCAUGGAUGGCUUUUCCACCUUCUAAAACAACAACAAGAAGAAGACUCUGAAGUCCAUCUGCGGGACAGUGGCUGGGUACAAGCUCUGAAGUUCACAGGACCAGCUGGUUGUCACACCUUGGGGUGGGGGUGGGUCAGAAGCUGCUACCAGCCUCUGGAGAGGAGAGCUUGGCUCAGCACCUUACAAGGCACAGGGCAGCCCCCUACCACCCCCCACCCCAACAUUUUCCUGUCCAGAAUGUCCAUAGCGCCGAGGCUGGAAACCCCUGUUUGAGAGUGAUUUUGCCAAGAUAAAUAAAAAAAGAAGCCAUGAUGAAGGCA
rnacentral:lncRNA from 1 species